CCCUUAGAUGUCCUGGGCCGCACGCGCGCUACACUGAUGCAUUCAACGAGCUUUACCUUGGCCGAGAGGCCUGGGCAAUCUUUUAAACCUGCAUCGUGAUAGGGAUAGAUUAUUGCAAUUAUUAAUCUUGAACGAGGAAUUCCUAGUAAACGCAAAUCAUCAAUUUGCAUUGAUUACGUCCCUGCCCUUUGUACACACCGCCCGUCGCACCUACCGAUUGAAUGGUCCGGUGAAGCCUCGGGAUUGUGGCCAGUUCACUUUAUUGGGAGUUGGCUGUGAGAACUUGUCUAAACCUUAUCAUUUAGAGGAAGGUGAAGUCGUAACA
rnacentral:rRNA from 1 species